rnacentral:rRNA from 1 species
CGCGCAGGUGGAUGCUUAAGUCUUGUAUGAAAACUCCUGGCUAAACUAGGAGAAGCUAGAGGAUACUGGGCAUCUUGAGUCGAACAGAGGAGUACAGAAUUCCGCGUGUAGUGGUGAAAUGCGUAGAGAUGCGGAGGAAUACCCGUGGCGAAAGCGGUACUCUGGGUUCAGACUGACACUGAGGCGCGAAGGCGUGGGUAGCGAACG